UACGUAGGGCGCAAGCGUUAUCCGGAAUUAUUGGGCGUAAAGAGCUCGUAGGUGGUUUGUCGCGUUGUUCGUGAAAACCGGGGGCUUAACCUUCGGCGUGCGGGCGAUACGGGCAGACUGGAGUACUGCAGGGGAGACUGGAAUUCCUGGUGUAGCGGUGGAAUGCGCAGAUAUCAGGAGGAACACCGGUGGCGAAGGCGGGUCUCUGGGCAGUAACUGACGCUGAGGAGCGAAAGCGUGGGGAGCGAACAGG
rnacentral:rRNA from 1 species